rnacentral:rRNA from 1 species
UAGGGAAUCUUCGGCAAUGGGGGCAACCCUGACCGAGCAACGCCGCGUGAGUGAAGAAGGUUUUCGGAUCGUAAAGCUCUGUUGUAAGAGAAGAACGUGUGUGAGAGUGGAAAGUUCACACAGUGACGGUAACUUACCAGAAAGGGACGGCUAACUACGUGCCAGCAGCCGCGGUAAUACGUAGGUCCCGAGCGUUGUCCGGAUUUAUUGGGCGUAAAGCGAGCGCAGGCGGUUUAAUAAGUCUGAAGUUAAAGGCAGUGGCUUAACCAUUGUGCGCUUUGGAAACUGUUAAACUUGAGUGCAGAAGGGGAGAGUGGAAUUCCAUGUGUAGCGGAGAAAUGCGUAGAUAUAUGGAGGAACACCGGUGGCGAAAGCGGCUCUCUGGUCUGUAACUGACGCUGAGGCUCGAAAGCGUGGGGAGCAAACAGG